rnacentral:rRNA from 1 species
CGAAGGUGGCAAGCGUUGUUCGGAAUUAUUGGGCGUAAAGCGCGUGUAGGCGGCUUUGCAAGUCGGGUGUGAAAGCCCUCAGCUCAACUGAGGAAGUGCGCCCGAAACUGCAGAGCUUGAGUGCCGGAGAGGGUGGCGGAAUUCCCCAAGUAGAGGUGAAAUUCGUAGAUAUGGGGAGGAACACCGGUGGCGAAGGCGGCCACCUGGACGGUAACUGACGCUGAGACGCGAACGCGUGGGGAGCAAACAGGAUUAGAUACCCUGGUAGUCCACGCCGUAAACGAUGAGAACUAGGUGUCGUGGGAGUUGACCCCCGCGGUGCCGAAGCUAACGCAUUAAGUUCUCCGCCUGGGAAGUACGGUCGCAAGACUA